rnacentral:rRNA from 1 species
AGAGUUUGAUCAUGGCUCAGAACGAACGCUGGCGGCAGGCUUAACACAUGCAAGUCGAACGCAUCCUUUUAGGGUGAGUGGCAGACGGGUGAGUAACGCGUGGGAACGUGCCCUUCAGUUCGGAAUAACCCAGGGAAACUUGGGCUAAUACCGGAUACGUGCGAGAGCAGAAAGAUUUAUCGCUGAAGGAUCGGCCCGCGUCUGAUUAGCUAGUUGGUGAGGUAAUGGCUCACCAAGGCGACGAUCAGUAGCUGGUCUGAGAGGAUGAUCAGCCACAUUGGGACUGAGACACGGCCCAAACUCCUACGGGAGGCAGCAGUGGGGAAUAUUGGACAAUGGGCGCAAGCCUGAUCCAGCCAUGCCGCGUGAGUGAUGAAGGCCUUAGGGUUGUAAAGCUCUUUCGUCCGGGACGAUAAUGACGGUACCGGAAGAAGAAGCCCCGGCUAACUUCGUGCCAGCAGCCGCGGUAAUACGAAGGGGGCUAGCGUUGUUCGGAAUCACUGGGCGUAAAGGGCGCGUAGGCGGCUUUGUAAGUCGGGGGUGAAAGCCUGUGGCUCAACCACAGAAUUGCCUUCGAUACUGCAUGGCUUGAGACCGGAAGAGGUUAGUGGAACUGCGAGUGUAGAGGUGAAAUUCGUAGAUAUUCGCAAGAACACCAGUGGCGAAGGCGGCUGACUGGUCCGGUUCUGACGCUGAGGCGCG